rnacentral:rRNA from 1 species
AACGAACGCUGGCGGCAUGCCUAACACAUGCAAGUCGAACGAGACCUUCGGGUCUAGUGGCGCACGGGUGCGUAACGCGUGGGAACCUGCCCUUAGGUUCGGAAUAACUCCCCGAAAGGGGUGCUAAUACCGGAUAAUGUCUUCGGACCAAAGAUUUAUCGCCUUUGGAUGGGCCCGCGUUGGAUUAGCUAGUUGGUAGGGUAAAAGCCUACCAAGGCGACGAUCCAUAGCUGGUCUGAGAGGAUGAUCAGCCACACUGGGACUGCGACACGGCCCAGACUCCUACGGGAGGCAGCAGUGGGGAAUAUUGGACAAUGGGCGAAAGCCUGAUACAGCAAUGCCGCGUGAGUGAUGAAGGCCGUAGGGUUGUAAAGCUCUUUUACCCGGGAUGAUAAUGACAGUACCGGGAGAAUAAGCACCGGCUAACUACGUG